GACGAACGCUGGCGGCGUGCCUAAUACAUGCAAGUAGAACGCUGAAGGAGGAGCUUGCUCUUCUGGAUGAGUUGCGAACGGGUGAGUAACGCGUAGGUAACCUGCCUUGUAGCGGGGGAUAACUAUUGGAAACGAUAGCUAAUACCGCAUAACAGUAGAUGUUGCAUGACAUUUACUUAAAAGGUGCAAUUGCAUCACUACCAGAUGGACCUGCGUUGUAUUAGCUAGUUGGUGGGGUAACGGCUCACCAAGGCGACGAUACAUAGCCGACCUGAGAGGGUGAGCGGCCACACUGGGACUGAGAGACGGCCCAGACUCCUACGGGAGGCAGCAGUAGGGGAUCUUCGGCAAUGGGCGGAAGUCUGUGCGAGCAACGCGGCGUGAGUGAAGAAGGGGUUCGGGUCGUAAAGCUCGGUUGUAAGAGAAGAACGAGUGUGAGAGUGGAAAGUUCACAGUGUGACGGUAACUGAACAGAAAGGGACGGCUAACUACGUG
rnacentral:rRNA from 1 species